rnacentral:rRNA from 2 species
GGAUGCAAUCAUACCAACGCUAAUGCACCAAUCCCAUCAGAGUUGUGCAGUUAAUCGUGUUUGAGCAAAAAUACUAAUAAGAUAUAUGAGUGACUUUCCAAAAAAUCUUUGUAUUGCACUCC